rnacentral:sRNA from 1 species
GUAAAAAAAAAAGGUGUGUUUGUGUUCAUCUAAACAAAGUUCAUGGGUAAGAUAGGAUAGGCUAUUGAUUGUAAGUACAGAAGACGAUCCAUCCAUUCAUAUUACUUCACAAUGUUUUGUAAUUCUCUUUGCCUACUAAAGCAAUUUCAAGAAAGAGCGAUUGAAAAAAUAAAUAAAGUGAAAGAUGGUCGUCUGGAGUUAAUACUCAUCUCUUAAAUGAUUUCCUCUACUACAACCACACCUUGGCCAGGAUAAUAUUUAGUACAUCCCCCACAUUCAAUAGAAGUGUUAUAGGUCAAUCAGAAGAAGCCAAAGUAGACAGCCCGAAGUUCUUCCUAAAUUCCUUUAGCGUUUGCCCUGAUGGUUCAGACACAAUUCUUAAGCCUAGAGAGGGCGGGGAAGAAAAUAUUAAUCAGUUGGAGAAGCGUUCGGUGGAAAUGCUCAGCCUAGGAAGAAGCGCCUCUGACGACUGUAUUUCAACCAAAGAAAAAAGGCAACUCAAAAUGUUGAGGCUUGGUAAAAGGCAACUCAAAAUGUUGAGGCUUGGUAAAAGGCAACUCAAAAUGUUGAGGCUUGGUAAAAGGCAACUCAAAAUGUUGAAACUUGGUAAAAGGCAACUCAAAAUGUUGAGACUUGGUAAAAGGCAACUCAAAAUGUUGAGACUUGGUAAAAGGCAACUCAAAAUGUUGAGACUUGGUAAAUGAGGAGAUGCCAUUUUGACGAGGCAUUAGUACCGUAGAAUAAAACACAGAAUACAAAUAACUAUUCUUUUGCCUUUUGAUUUUAUUAGCUGUAAAAGUGUUCUUGAGUUGUUGUUUUUUUUUAACUUAAUCCUAAUUACCAUAUGUUUUUGUUUUAUAUAUAUUUCAUUUUUAAGCUUACGUCAUAGCUUGGUAAAAUCGUUUUUUAAAAAAAAUCUGCUUGCAUAAAUAGUUUAAACAUUAAAUGGUUCACAUUUAGACCUUUGAAUGAUUGAAAAUACCAUGAUGUCCGAUUUUCAUUUUCUUUUCUAGAUUCUGAUAUCUAAACGGGACGGACGGACAGACAGACAAACCACACAAAACUAAUAGGCACUAUUCCCACAUUUACGUGUAAAGGGAAAUUAAAAUGGGCAUUCGAUAUACAGGUCAGAAAGAUUGUGAAUAAUUUACAAAGUUUUGAAACCGACAGUUUGUAUGAAAUGUGUUCAGACCACAUCUCUUUUUACAAAGCUAAUAUCAACCCACACAGUUUGCCCACGUUAUUUCUUCCACAGCCAUUCUCUGAUCAAGUUGAAACUUUACACAACUAUUCAUUGGCGAUUAUCAAUAAAUUACUGCAGAUCCAAAAGAAGAACAUCUAGGAUUGCUACCACUGUCGUGAUAAACUAGAGGAGAACAUACAGCUAAUGUGAUAACAAGUAACCAUGUGUUUUGGGCGCUAUGUGCGUGUUUAUUGAUGUAACUAUGGUCCACAAGGAGAGCAGAUAGUUUUGGUUGCGUACACUGAGGAGUUUCAGAUGAAACCACCAGGUGGUCUGAUGUAAUUGAACAGAAAUAAUAUAAAGAUCUGGUGUUAAAGUUGAAGGUGACUAACCAAAGAAGAAGACGUGUUUGUAAAAAUACCUCUUCAUUUGUGAUACCACCAUCACUCAUAAAUCGAAGCUGUAUAAUGAUAAAGAAAUGUCAUAUUCAAGUUUGUUUAAAAGGAAUCUUAUUCAAGUUUAAUUAUAUAGAAUUUAAUAUGUUUACAUCAGUUUCGUUGCGCUAGCUGUUAGGAGCUACAAGCCAAAGACUGAGCAAAACAACACCAUGUUCCGUUUAAACAUAUUACAUUUAAAUACAUUUAUCAGAAGAAAAAAAAGAUUUAUUUUUUAAA